AACGAACGCUGGCGGCGUGCUUAACACAUGCAAGUCGAACGAUGAAGCUAGAGCUUGCUCUGGUGGAUUAGUGGCGAACGGGUGAGUAACACGUGAGUAACCUGCCCCGAACUCUGGGAUAACUGCUGGAAACGGUAGCUAAUACUGGAUACGACCAACGAAGGCAUCUUCUGUUGGAGGAAAGAAUUUCGGUUCGGGAUGGACUCGCGGCCUAUCAGCUAGUUGGUGAGGUAAAGGCUCACCAAGGCAACGAUCAGUAGCUGGUCUGAGAGGACGAUCAGCCACACUGGGACUGAGACACGGCCCAGACUCCUACGGGAGGCAGCAGUGGGGAAUUUUGGACAAUGGGGGCAACCCUGAUCCAGCAAUGCCGCGUGAGUGAAGAAGGCCUUCGGGUUGUAAAGCUCUUUUGUCAGGGAAGAAACAGCAGCUCUAACACAGUUUGCGAAUGACGGUACCUGAAGGAUAAGCACCGGCUAACUACGUGCCAGCAGCCGCCGUAA
rnacentral:rRNA from 1 species